GAAAAAAGAAGAGGGACAGAAAUAAGUAGGGGAAUGUCUAGGGCCGGCCCGUGUAGCACGCGUUCAAAGCCCAAUAGGUGUCCGGCCCAGUCUGUGCAAAGAUGAUACGACGCCGUAGUGUGCAUCUAAACAUUGGGUUGGAUUUGAAUCCUGCGUGAGUUGCAGAGUGAAGGAUGAGGUUUUCUAUGGCAGGGUUUCGAAGUUCAUUGCCCUUUUCUGCGCUAAUAAGGGUUUGUUGGAUUUGUUGAUUUUGUGUCAGACAAGUUGAGCAAGAAAUGGAAACUGUGAUUAAGGUGCUGCAGCCUGGACCCUUGGGAAUCAUAGAGCACAAGUUUUCCGCGGACGAGAUUCGUAAGGCUAAUGCUACGGUUUCUAAAGCAGUGACCAAUUGGGUAACCAAUGCAACCCUCCCACACAAUAAUCACAUUUUAAAAGACUACAUUCAUAAGUGAACCCAAAUUUUUACACAAGGUUCAACUUUCCUUCGGUGUGCUUAUUCGUUCAUAUGUAUGUGUCACUGUUUAUUCAGAUGUUCAAUGUUGUAAAUUCUGGUUACUUGAGGAUAGGUUUCAGUAACAUGAUUUAAUAAUAUCUGAACUUUGGUAUGUUUACCAUAAGAUUAUGAUCAUUGGAGUGUGGAAUUGAGUUGCAGUAUUUUGUUGUUGGGGUUGUUACACAUUGCUAGUAAUUAUAAUUCAUACCUGUAGGCUAUUAGUAUGA